CGGACGGGUGAGUAAUGCUUGGGGAAGUCUGGCUUAUGGAGGGGGAUAACUACGGGAAACUGUAGCUAAUACCGCGUAAUAUCGAAAGAUUAAAGUGUGGGACCUUCGGGCCACAUGCCAUAGGAUGAGCCCAAGUGGGAUUAGGUAGUUGGUGAGGUAAAGGCUCACCAAGCCGACGAUCUCUAGCUGGUCUGAGAGGAUGACCAGCCACACUGGGACUGAGACACGGCCCAG
rnacentral:rRNA from 1 species